rnacentral:tRNA from 1 species
GCUUACUUAGCUCAGUGGUUAGAGUGUCUGCCUGGUGCCUGGAGGUCGCAGGUUCAAAUCCUGCAGUGUGCA